UUGGUGGGACAAGUUACACUGUAAUUGUUCUUAUUGGCGCACUGACUUUGGAGACCAUACAUAAUGUCAAAUGCGGCUUCGGACUUCAACCUGAGCAGAGAUGUAAUCAGCCAGAAUGAUUCAAAAUGCCUGUGUGGGUGUGCACUUUUACCAUGUGAAUAAGACUGCAUUCUGUUUGGCCUUAUCAUAGCACAGUGGUUUGCUUUAAAGAAAGCAAUAUGACCUCCAGCUCCUAACGUGAGACCGAUGAAGACGCCGGAGGAGGAAGCGAGGAAGAGAAAAAGAGUGACCAAGCAAGAGACAUGAGUAAACAUUGAACUGGCUGUCACUCGUUGGCGUGAGCUAAAAGAGCUGAAAGGAUGCAGGACAGAUGCCGAGCUGGCCUUCUUGCUGUUGGACUACUCCUAAACUUUAUGGAUGUGUAAUACUUGCUGGAAUGCCCCUGUAACACUGGGGCCAACCGAAAGCUUCUGACAGCCCAGCAGUAAUGUAAAUGUGUGACCAGAGGGGGUCAGCGUUGCUGUGCUUCUGACCUUCACAUCCUCCCACAUCUCUCUGUCUUCAGUCAGGACCCGGGUGGUGUGCAGCGGAGUGGAGGGAACCAUCAUGGACUGCUGCAGAGUGCACGCGCGCACACACACACACGCACACGCACACACACACACACACACACAGAUACCGAUGACAAUAUGAGCAAACAGAUGCACAGACAAACAGGAAGCAGUGCAGGAAGUAUACCAUGUUUAUCUGUAACACACAGAUACUUACAUUAAUCCAGGGGUGGUUCAUAAACUGAGUGAUGGUCA